rnacentral:rRNA from 1 species
UACGUAGGGUGCAAGCGUUGUCCGGAAUUAUUGGGCGUAAAGAGCUCGUAGGCGGUCUGUCACGUCGGGCGUGAAAAUCCAGGGCUUAACCCUGGACCUGCGUUCGAUACGGGCAGACUAGAGUUCGGUAGGGGAGACUGGAAUUCCUGGUGUAGCGGUGAAAUGCGCAGAUAUCAGGAGGAACACCGGUGGCGAAGGCGGCUUCCUGGACCGACACUGACGCUGAGGCGCGAAAGCUAGGGGAGCAAACGGG